rnacentral:tRNA from 1 species
AUUUAAGUAGUUUAAUAUUAAAAUAUUGAUUUGUGGUAUCAAUGAUGUAUAAUUUUAUACCUUAGAUA